rnacentral:rRNA from 1 species
GCCUGAUGCAGCGACGCCGCGUGAGGGAUGACGGCCUUCGGGUUGUAAACCUCUUUCAGCAGGGAAGAAGCGAAAGUGACGGUACCUGCAGAAGAAGCGCCGGCUAACUACGUGCCAGCAGCCGCGGUAAUACGUAGGGCGCAAGCGUUGUCCGGAAUUAUUGGGCGUAAAGAGCUCGUAGGCGGCUUGUCACGUCGGUUGUGAAAGCCCGGGGCUUAACCCCGGGUCUGCAGUCGAUACGGGCAGGCUAGAGUUCGGUAGGGGAGAUCGGAAUUCCUGGUGUAGCGGUGAAAUGCGCAGAUAUCAGGAGGAACACCGGUGGCGAAGGCGGAUCUCUGGGCCGAUACUGACGCUGAGGA